rnacentral:tRNA from 1 species
GGACGAUUAGCUCAGUCGGUAGAGCAGUGGACUCUUAAUCCAUUGGUCCAGGGUUCGAGUCCCUGAUCGUCCACCA